CCUGGCUGAAGUCGGACGCUUAACCGACUGCGCCACCCAGGCGCCCCUAUAAUAACAUAUUUCUUACAAAAUAACAAAAAGGAACUUAUAGAUUGCAGCCAACACUGUGCUUAUAGUUAAAUUUGUACACUUAAAGGUUUCAUUAUAAAGUUUUUUUUUUUUUUAAAGCAAGGCAAAUAUACUAAACAAACAAGUUAUCAAGAGGAGGGGGCCUUAAGGAAAUCUAUUCAUGAAUAAGGAGAUGUUAGAACAUACAUUAAGUAAUGGACAGGAAGCUCAAAAACCUCAAUGGUAUUUAUAUUAGUGAAAAACUAGAUGUAAUCUAAACAACAGAAAACUGUAUUGAUUUUAGUGAGAAUUUCCAGUUAGGUUUCUUCUGUGAUUAAAAAUCAUAUUUACACAUAUUUUAACGAAACGCUACAAAGUCUUUAAAUAAAAAGGUGGCAUAUAAAAUUUUAUACAUUAAGUAAUACCAACCGUAUGAAAACAAAAAGAGAAAACACUUAAACAUAGAAAAACCACAGUUACAUCUACAGGUUAAAACAUGGAUAACAUUUUUUAACAUUUUUCUAGAUUUUCCCUAUUUUGUAAAACGGGUAAUUCAUUACUUCGAUAAUCAAGGAGAAAAUCACACUAUUUUUAAACUGAGUGCCCAGUACGAGAAUGCAGCUCUCACCUUUUCUUUUUUAAACUGAAGUAUAAAUGACAUAUAACAUUAUGUUGGUUUCAGGAGCACAACAACAAUUUGACAUUUGUAUACAUUACAAAGUGAUCACCACAGUGAAGUCUCGUUAAACAUCCAUUACCACACAUGGUGACAAAAUAUUUUUUCUUAUAAUGAAGACUUUUAAGAUCUACUCUCUUAGCAACUUUCAAAUAUGCAGUACAAUAUUAUUACCUACAGUUCACCAGGCUGUACGUUAAAUCUUCAGGACUUAUUUAUGACUGAAGUUUAUAUUUUCUGACCCUCUUCACCCAUUUCAACCACCCUCCAAUCCCCACUUCUGGCCACCACCAAGCUGUUCCUUGUAUCUAUGCAGCUCUCGCCAUUCAUAUUAACACUAUUCAAGCUCCUACUUCUGCUUUAAGUACUAUUAAUUAUGCCUGGACAUUUAGGGGAAAAAUUGAGCUUGUUACUCAGAUUGUUACAAACAGAAAACUGAACUUGAAUAAUUUACAGAACAAGAAACAUGUUAUUUUCAAGUUUGCUGAGAUCAGUGAUCAGUAACUGUCCUGUGCCUACUAAGUCAGUGCUACAUUUCAAACCACUCCCACUGAAACCCAGUUAAACCUACACAUCCCUCCGUGACACUGGCUCUCACAAAGAGCUACACGAUCAGGACUUCCCAGGUGACUCUUCAAUACAGCUUAUGGAGCUAUUUUUCCGUCAAGAUGCCAAAUGUAAAAAUAAACCCAGCUGUUUGGAAGCUGUCAUGUUUUAUUCGAAAAAUUAUGAUUUCCCUAUAAAUCUGUGAUUUCUAAAGUCUGAGGAGACUUGAGGCAUUCUUAAAUGUAAUAUUGCCUGUAUCUUGGUGUAAUGGCUUUUCAUCUAGGUGAGUAUCUCUCUGCGUUUAUAAAGAAAAUAUAAAUGAAAAUCAAUUCAGUAUCCAAAAAUUCAGGUGACACAGAAUUUCGAGGAUGCCUCUAUUCUAUAAAGUAAGAUUAUGCCUUUCUGUUUUGGGUCUCUAUGAUGAAAGAAUUCUAGAACAGUAGUUAUCCUUGCCUCAUACACUAAUUGAAAGCACAGGGAUCUCUCAGAGGGUACUUUCUGUUUCUGCACCAGAGCUCCUCCAAAAACCGUCACAACAGCAGCAAAUUAAACCAGGGGAGUUUGAGAAGCCAGCGCAUCGUGAACAGGGCCAAGACUGUCCCAAGCUGACUUCAUGUGGUUUCUACCUCGCUAAAGAACAUUUCUGCUGAGCUUUCUAUUCUUCAUUCACUCCAAUUAAACUGCAGUGAUUCACCAGUUAUUACCACCACAGCCAUACACGUGUUGAAGAGAAGAUCAUGAUUAUAAUCUGCACAAUUACCGACGGCUAGAUAGCAUGCCUACACACGGUGUUUUGAAAAACAGCUUCAUUUCCGAUGGAGAUCAGGACAGCAAUAAAACAGUUCCACAGUCUCUUCACUAAAUACAUCUUUGUUUGCAUGGUCUGUGUAUACUGUCAUGGGGCAGGUGCGGGAAAAUGUAAAAUAUAAAUAUUUAAAAUCCAACUGAGCUGCUGUGAAGUCAAUGACAAAGAAAAAUACAAACAUGGGGGCUUCAUGCAUACGGCUAAAUACAUAAAUAACUAUGAAAUCACCAAAACAAAGCAACACAUCCAUAUUUCUUACUGGUGCUUAUUAUAAUUCAACAGCAAUAUAUUUUCAUUAAUCCUGAGCCAUCUGAAAAAUAUGUCAAGCAACACUUAACUUCAUUGAGUCUGAAGCCCCAAAUAAAGUUACCAAUAGUGAGCAACAUCAUUAGAUGUGCUUCGUAUUUAAGAAGAAAUUGUUCAUUAGACUUGGUUUGUAUUUAAGAAGAAAUGGUUAUCCAACUCUCUUCACCCCACACAGUCAUUUGAAUCCUCCUUAGUCUUCAUGUAGCCAGGCUGACUAGCAGCAGGACACAGUAGGGGUGAGCAGAAUUCAGCUGCCCAAAGAAAAGUCAAAGGACAAACUGAUUUUGUUAAACGUCUUUUUUUUUUUUUUUUUAAGGCUACCCAGAGGUGGAAUCCUGGAUGAUGUCAGUCCAACUUAUCUGACAAAACUUAAAAUUGUAUCUACUUGGAUGAAAGUCAAUGAGCUAACCACCUCUGUAUCUUCCACUUGAGAAGUUACGACUCUUAAGAAGGACAUAAAAAUAGUUUUUUAACCAAAUUAUAGUCCUUUAGCUGCAAACCCAAAUAAUCAGCAAUUCACAAGGAAAGUGAAGAGAAAGCAAAAGAUGGAGGCAUUCUGGCUAUUAGAAGAAACAAAGAGCAGACUUCAGAAAACCCAAACAACAAAGCAUAUUUCCAUAUCUGAAAAUAUGCUGAACCAAAUAACCCAAAGAGCCCUCCUGAAACACCUAUUUUACAAUGCAUCACUACAUUAUUUGUAUUCUUAUUUGGGGGUAAAAACACAUAAAAGAUAUUUAGGGACAACGGGGGAAUGUGAAUACAGAUUAGGUAGUAGAUAAAUAUUAGAGAACUCUUACUCAUGUGCUACAGUAGAGUCGUUCUAUAGCAGAAUGUCCUUACUUUGACAAGAUACACAGCAAAACAUCCAGGGUAAGUUUCAUGAUACCUGCAACUGACUUCCAAAUGGCUCAAGAAACACACACACAUACACACACACACACACACACAUGCACACAGCUGAUAUGGCAAAAAAAUUAAUAAUUAGUGACUUUAGGUAAUAUCCUUCCUGUCUUAUCCUUUUACCUUUUCUUCAUGAUUGAAAGUUUUUACAAUAAAAGAUGAAGAAAGGGGCCCCUGGGUGGCUCAGUCAGUUAAGUGUCUGACUUCAGCUCAGGUCACGAUCUCACGGUUCGUGGGUUCAAGCCAGGCAUCAGGCUCUGUGCUGAACGCUUGCUCAGAGUCUGGGGCCUACUUCAGAUUCUGUGUCUCCUUCUCUCUCUGCCCCUCCUCCACUCGCACUCUGUCUCAGUCUGUCUCUCAAAAAUAAAUAAAUGCAAAAAAUAAAAAAGUGUUUUAAAGAUGAAGAAAAGUUAAGGCAUUUAAGAAGGUCUAUUUAAAAACAGAAAAUUGGGGCUCCUGGGUGGCGCAGUCGGUUGAGCGUCCGACUUCAGCCAGGUCACGAUCUCGCGGUCUGUGAGUUCGAGCCCAGCGUCAGGCUCUGGCCUGAUGGCUCAGAGCCUGGAGCCUGUUUCCGAUUCUGUGUCUCCCUCUCUCUCUGCCCCUCCCCCGUUCAUGCUCUGUCUCUCUCUGUCCCAAAAAUAAAUAAACGUUGAAAAAAAAAAUAAAUAAAAACAGAAAAUUGAAAAAUAAAAUUCAUCAUUGAGAUGAUAAAAAAAGAAAAGUAUCCUUAGAUAAUUACACUGAAGCAAAAGCAAUAAACCUGAGAGAUUAGGUAACUUCUCCAGCUAGCUUUCUCCCUGGAUAAAUCUGGCUAAGCCAGGGAACCCUGAACUUGCACCUGAGAGCCACCUGGGCCACACCCAGAGUGGGAACUCUAAAACCAGACUCCUGAACAGACCUGGGCUCCAGAGGAUGACACCCUUAGAACAAAUUAUAAUAAACCCAUUCCACAUUAGGAACAGUAGGGAAACUGCCAGUCUAGACCUAAGCACUAGAUAGAGUGGGAUACUUUUUUCUAGAGAACUUAUAACCAUAACUUGGCAAUUGGCCAAGCCUGCACCCUAAAUUAACAUUAUCUUUCUGGUCCAAGAAGCCUCAAGCACAAAAAUUAACCUUUGAGAGAUCUAGGGCUGUUAAAGCCCUCGUUAGCCACCAGAAGAAGGGCAAAUUCAUUCUGGAUGAAUACACUUCCAAUACAAACUUCAACAAAUUUCAAAAGAGCCUGAGCUUAUGGUUUAAACACACACACACACACACACGCACGCACGCACGCACAUAAAACAAGGAAACAAAGACUUAUGAGAAAGUCUCAGCAGAAAUACCACAUAGCUGAAUUAAAAAGAUCUCAUAAUUUGGAUUGUCAGAAUUUAAAGUAAGUGUUUAAUAUGUUUAAAGAUACAAGAAAUGGAAAAUAUGAGAAAGGAUAAAAAAUGUUGUAAUGUCUAAGCCAAAAAAACUUCCAGAACUGAAAAAUAACAGUUACAAUUUAAAAUGCUAAUUUGAAAAUUGGCAAUGAUCCUUAAAUCCUACAAUGUCAAACGUUGGUGAAGAUUUGAAACAAUGCAAACUCUGGUACACAGAUGGUUCGGUAUAAAUGUAUACAGUCCCUUUGGAAAAGGAUUUGAUGUUAUCUAGAGAAGCUGUGAAAAGCAUACUUAUGACCCAACAAUUCCAUCACAAAUUAUACAUGCUACAAAAACUCCUGUAUACAUUCAACAGAGGUAGGUUCAUGAAUGUUAUGGCAAUGAAGUAACAGUUAAAAGGAAAGCAAAUUAAACUAUGAUACAUUUACAUAAUAGAAAACUAUACAGCAGUGAAACUGAAUGAGCUACAGCUACAUUCAUCAUGGAUAAAUUUCAGAAUACUAAACUAAAAAAAGGAAGAAAAGGAAGUAGAAAAACAACAAGCAGAAUCUGACUUCACUUAUUUUUUUCAAUGUUUAUUUAUUUGAGAGAAAGCACGUGUUCAAAGGGGAGAGGGGCAGAGAAAGGGGGAGAGAUGCAGAGCUUGAUCCCAUGAACCUGAGAUCAUGACCUGAGCUGAAAUCAAGAGUCGGAUGUUUAACUGAUUGAGCCUCCUAGGAGUCCCUAUAUGUUUUUAACUUUGUUUAAAUGAACUCAGAUUGGAGCACCAUAAUGAAAAAAAUUAUUUAACAAAAUCAGAAAACAACAAGAUGCUUCAGUAUC